UGUAAAUACGGCAAAACAGAUGUGGCUACUGGGUUGUUGAAGGAAAUGGUUGAGAGAGGUUGUGAGCCAGAUGUCAUGACCUACAAUUCAAUCAUUGACGCCCUUUGCAAGGAUAAGCUAGUUGCUGAGGCAUUAAACCUCUUUUCUCAACUGGGGAACAAGGGCAUUCCACCUACCGCUGUCACUUACAACUGCCUAAUUCACGGUCUUUGCAGUUUAGGUAAAUUGAAUCAAGCUUUAUCCUUGCUGAAUGAAAUGGUGGUGCAGAACAUAUCACCAGAUGUUUAUACCUUCAAUAUAUUUAUUGACAAUCUUUUUAAGGAAGGAAUGGUUUCAAAGGUUCAAGAAAUUUUUGGCAUAAUGGUUAAAUGGAAUAUUAAGCCUGAUUUGGUUACUUACAAUUCAUUGAUGGAUGGAUAUUGUUUGCAUAGCCAAAUGGAUGAAGCUAGAAAAAUAUUUGAUCAAAUGGUAAGGAGAAAAAUGGCAGAUGUCUUUAGCUACAACAUCUUGAUCAAUGGGUACUGUGAGAACAAAAGGAUUGAUGAAGCGAAGAAACUUUUUGAUGAAAUGCCUUAUAAACGUUUAGUUCCUAACAUUUUUAUUUACAAUACUCUUAUGAAGGGCUUGUGGCGAGUGGGAAAGUCCCGAACUGCAAAAGAUGUUUUCAAGCACAUGUGUUCUCAAGGACACCAGCCAGAUAGAAUAAGUUUCUCCAUUUUGCUCGAUGGAUUGUGCAAGCAGGGGAAUCUUGAUGAGGCACUUGCACUAUUUAAAGCAAUGGAAAAGAGCCGGUUGAAGCCUAAUCAUGUGAUCUAUACCAUUUUGAUUGAUGGUCUGUUUAGAGUUGGGAAGCUUAAUGAUGCCAAGAAAUUUUUUUCUAGGCUUCUUGAAAAAGGUGUGCAGCCUAAUGUUUAUACAUAUAGUACAUUCAUUAAAGGACUUUGCAAGGAGGGAAUAUUAGAUGAAGCAUACCAGGUCUUUAGAGGAAUGGAAGAUAGUGGAUGUUUACCGAAUGACUGUUGUUAUAAUGUGAUUAUUCAAGGGUUUCUCAGGCAUGAGGAUGUACCAAAAGCAUCACAACUUAUUGAUGAAAUGGUUGAUAAGGGAUUCUCUGCAGAUGCCACGACCACUGAAUUGGUAAUACAUUUAUCGCACAAUGACGGUCUCAUUUUGAGAAAACUACGAAAUCGAUCUGAAGGUUCUAAUGGCAUAAAUGCGAAGUGAGAUAUUAGCAAUUAAUGCUUGAUCAACUGAUGCAUGAGUUCUUUGUCAUUUUGUGUGUCAUUGGUACUUGAUUCUAUAUCAAUAUGUGUACAAUUACAAAUUCCUCAAGUUAGUUGCUUUUGUUUUUUCAGAGGAAACUGUUUAUUAGCAGUAACAUCAUGUUUUUAGGCUGCAUGGAUAGAAGACUAUAGUAAAGAUGGUUGUAUUUGGUAUCGGAAAAUGGAUAGAAGACUGUUGGGUAACCAUAUGAAUGACUGAUUUCUCUCUCUUUCUGUACUGAGAAAGCAAUUCUUAAUACAUUAUGUGUUACAUACCUUCUCGGUACAUUUUGUUAAUUGCUUUGAUGUUGGAAAAUUAUGUCUCAAUUCGCAAUUAUGACCUUGAAAAAAAGCAAAAUACUUGCAAACUCGCUAGAUAUUUCCUUUCAUGUCUAGGAAGUUGAAUAGUGUUUGGAAUCUUUUUCAAGAGGUACUUAAUUAUCACUCUUCUUCUAUAUAGGAAAUCAGUGCAUGUGAUUGUUUUUGUAUUGCAAGCAACAUGUGAUUCCAUAAGCAUCACUCAUAAUGUGCAUAGUCCCUAAUUUGCAUCUGCUGAUUUAUCCUUGAACUGGUGAUGUAACUCAGAAUGUAGGUGGUAGUUUGGCAAGAAGCAAAAGAAGGAUACCCGAAAACAUCAUUAGAAUAUUAUGUCCAAUCCAUUGUUCAAUUCAAAGGAACAAGGAAAAAAAAAAAAGAAAAGAAAAAGACAGUUUUGCUUAAGAUUUCAUGAAACUGAACCUUCCAGAAAUGUCUGAGUGGAUAAUGCAUAGACCAGGGUAUUAGAUAUUAGUGACAUAUGGCUGAUUGGCUAGUAGUGAUAUGUUUCUGAAAAGUUAGUUUGUAUGAUGAAAUUCAUCGAGGUGAAGAGGAGAUGGUUUCUGAUUUUAACUUGGUGUGGUUUAAUAUUUUGAGUAAACAAUGCAAGCAGCUACAUGAUUUUACUUGAUAUGGUUACCUAUUUGGGACUGCUGGUUUUAUCAUUUUAUUGGUUUUACCUGCACAUUAAUGGAAUUGUGUACACAAAUUACAAGUAGUUGAACUCGUUUUGAAUUUCAUCGUCUUUCGUAACGUUGUACAAACUCUCUUGUUUUGAGCAAGCAAGAUCGUUAGGAAGGAUAUAAACUUGAGCUAUUUAAUCUUGUACUGCAGAAAUUACUUGUGCAAACCUCUGUUGCCUAGGCAGAUGUAUAUGGAGUCUUCUUCAGAAUCUGUAUCCUCUAACUGUUUUUGACGCCAUACGUCAAAAACAUAUGGAAUUAUGAAAUUUAUGCUGCUUAAAAUUAAGGCUUAUCAUUAUUACAGUUUAGUGUCCUUGGUCAAUGAUCAAAUUCAUGACUCAUCUCUCAGGGUGUUAGUUAUUCUGUCUCAAGUACUAGCCAGUGGUGCAGUGGUGAAUAAAAUAAAAUGUAGGUUCUGCAAAUAGUUGAUCUCACACAAUAUUUAUUCUCUUAGCAUUUUGAUUAAUAGCUACUGCUGCUUAAACCGUGUGGAUUUUGGAUUCUCAGUUCUGAGUAAAAUCCUAAAACUUGGAUUAGAGCCCAGCAUCAUGAUAUUUACUACCUUAAUUGAUGGGCUGUGUAAAGGGGGUACAAUCAAUAGAGCAGUAGACCUUUUCAAUGAUAUCGUUGCAAGAGGUUUUCAACCUGAUGUUUAUACCGACAAUAUGAUAGUAAAUGCUCUGUGUAAAUACGGCAAAACAGAUGUGGCUACUGGGUUGUUGAAGGAAAUGGUUGAGAGAGGUUGUGAGCCAGAUGUCAUGACCUACAAUCCAAUCAUUGAUUGCAAGGAUAAGCUAGUUGCUGAGGCAUUAAACCUCUUUUCUCAACUGGGGAACAAGGGCAUUUCACCUACUGCUGUCACUUACAACUGCCUAAUUCACGG
rnacentral:lncRNA from 1 species